AAAUAAGUAGCACCAAUAAAUUUCUGUACAGGAAUCUUGUCAGGUGCUGACCACAAUUUAAUUACAUGAGAAUAAUGUGCUCCGAAAUGCAUGUGCUGAGAACCACAAUGGCAAUGCAGAACUGUUCUUCACUGAAAACAUCUCUUUCCACACCCUACUCCUCCGAUGAUACACCAAAACCUGCUUAUAAGUUGCCAGGAAAACACAUUCACCUGUCUGACUUAUCGGGAAAAUACCAGGCACCAUUCCCCGAAUGCAUCUCAAGCUCACCCUAUCCACCUCAUGCCACAGUUCACACUUAUAGUCCUUCAUCACCCAUAUUUUCAUCCAUGCCUCUGAAAUCUGUAUUACAGAUAAACACCCAUCUGACUCCAACAAAUACACCCUAUUUCCAGCACCAGAACUCAAUUCAUCUGGCAAUGAGAUCUUCCUCCAAACAUCACAAUCCAGAUCAAGUGCAAGAAUACAUGAAAAACUUCCUGUUAACCAAUGGAGUGCACCAUUGACAA
rnacentral:misc_RNA from 1 species